rnacentral:tRNA from 1 species
GCUUGGGUGGCUCAGUAGUUAAGCAUCUGACUUUGACUCAGGUCAUGAUCUCACGGUUUUGGGUUCGAGCCCCACCUUGGGCU